rnacentral:rRNA from 1 species
GAUGAACGCUGGCGGCGUGCCUAAUACAUGCAAGUCGAGCGAACGGACGAGAAGCUUGCUUCUCUGAUGUUAGCGGCGGACGGGUGAGUAACACGUGUAUAACCUACCUAUAAGACUGGGAUAACUUCGGGAAACCGGAGCUAAUACCGUAUAAUAUUUUGAACCGCAUGGUUCAAAAGUGAAAUACGGUCUUGCUGUCACUUAUAGAUGGAUCCGCGCUGCAUUAGCUAGUUGGUAAGGUAACGGCUUACCAAGGCAACGAUGCAUAGCCGACCUGAGAGGGUGAUCGGCCACACUGGAACUGAGACACGGUCCAGACUCCUACGGGAGGCAGCAGUAGGGAAUCUUCCGCAAUGGGCGAAAGACUGACGGAGAAACGCCGCGUGAGUGAUGAAGGUCUUCGGAUCGUAAAACUCUGUUAUUAGGGAAGAAAAUAUGUGUAAGUAACUGUGAACAUCUUGACGGUACCUAAUCAGAAAGCCACGGCUAACUACGUG